GACGAACGCUGGCGGCGUGCUUAACACAUGCAAGUCGAACGGAGAAUUUGGGGCUUGCUCCAAAUUCUUAGCGGCGGACGGGCGAGUAACACGUGGGCAAUCUGCCCCGAAGAGUGGAACCACAGGGUGAAAAUCCUGCUAAUACCGCAUAACGCCAUUGAACCGCAUGGUUUGAUGGCUAAAGGUGAAACCCGCUUCGGGAUGAGCCUGCGGCGCAUUACCUAGGUGGUGGGGUAACGGCCUACCAAGGCGACUAUGCGUUGCCGACCUGAGAGGGUGAUCGGCCACAUUGGGACUGGGACACGCCACAGACCCCUACGGGAGGCAGCAGUGGGGAAGAUUGCACAAUGGGGGAAACCCUGAUGCAGCAACGCCGCGUGAGUUAUGAAGGCCUUCGGGUUGUAAAACUCUGUCUUCUCUGAAGAUAAUGACGGUAAGAGAAGAGGAAGCCACGGCUAACUACGUGCCAGCCGCCGCUGUAAUAC
rnacentral:rRNA from 1 species